CACUAUGUACACCAGGUUGGCCUCUAACUCACAGAGAUCCUCAUGCCUCAGCCUCCUGGGUGCUGGCAUUAAAGGCGUCAUGGAUACGGUAUUUUUUAAGUGUGAAAAAACGUUUAGGGGAACACAUUUUUCUUGAAGGUAGCCAGUUUACAUCUGUUGUUGGUUGGUUUUUGGUUUUGUUGUUGUUGUUGUUGUUGUUGUUGUUGUUGUUGUUUUACAUUUAUUUAUUUGUCCUCCAGGGAGGGGGAUGUCCUGGCACGUGUAUGAAGGUCAGAGGACAACUUGUUGAAAUUGCUUCUCCCCUUCAGCACCACAUAAACUGGGUGUGGCUGGCACGCCCUGGUGUGGUGGAGGCAGGAGGAUCAUAAGUCAAGGUCAACCUCGAAUAUAUAGCACUUUUACUUACAUCAAUUAUAAGCAAUGGACUAUAAGCAAAAGCAAAAAUGUCCAAAUUUACCUUGCCACAGAACUGGAGAGAUGGUUCUACAAUUAAGAGCACUGGCUGCUUUCACUAAGGACCUGGAUUUAGUUCCAGCUCAUAAUGGCCAAUAACUCCAGCUGCAGGGCAUCUGAUGCCUCUUUUGGCCUCUGUGGGCACUUGCUCAAAUGUGGCACACAUAAAUUCAUGCAAGCACACAUAUACGUAUAAAAUAAAUCAAUCCUUUUUUUUUUAAUCUACCCUAUCACCAACAAAGCUGAUUUUCUUGGAACAAGUGAAAACCUGUAAAUCUAUAGUCUUCUCAGUGAAUAAAUCAACAGGCCUAGUGGAAAAUAUCCUGUCGAUUCAGAUUUCAUCUGUCUUCUAAAGUGUUUGUGAGAGCUGGUGGAAAUAGUCAAGUCUAGCAUGAAAACAAAGCUCUUUGUAUUCAUGGUGACUCCUCUGGCUGAUAGACUGGCUAGAGUCUUCCUGUGUUGGUCCUGGAGUUGCUACAUUUAAAGUUUUCCCUCAGUCCAGAAAACUACAAGAAAGUCAAAACUGAGGAGAAAUGUGAGAAACAAAUUUAUACAAGACAUGCAAGUGUGUGUGAGAGUGUAUCAGUAAGUGUCCAUGCCACAGUAUGUGUAUGGAGGUCAGAGGACAACCUUCUUCCAUCUCAUCUGAGGAGGAUCUCCAUUGUUUUCCUGAUGCGUACAGCAGGCUAGUCUCUCACAAGCUCUCCGAGAUUCUCCUGCCUCUAACUGCACAGCAAACGCUUUUACCCAGUUAGCCAGCUCCCUGGUCCCUGAUUGCUUGUUUCAAUUAUUCCUCCUCCUAAAUAAAGACUGUGAAAUUAAUUUCCUAAAA